UGGCAAGGUUGAAUCAGCCUUUAUUUUCUGAUGGUGAUGACGCUCUCACAAGACUGAUACCAGCCUCAAGUGCAAAAUGGGGUGAGUCACACUCCUUCAAAGGUUCCAGUGUUGGCACCAAUCUCUCGAUACCCAACACGGUACCUGAUUUUUAGUGAUGAAUCAAGGCUCACCCAUCUUGGCGUUGGAUGUGGUCUAUGGUCAGUGGCGGAGCAUUCCUAACAUUUCCAAACUGAUUACACUUAAUUUAAAUGCGUUGCCGUAUUAGUUAUAUUUGCAAGUUAGUAAAAAUUAUGUGUACUAAAUCAUCUUAAUCAAUCAUGAUGGAGAGUUCACCGCAGGGAUCGACGCAUCGGACGGUCGGCGUUGCUGCUUUAAGGCAGCUAUAUUGGUCGUCGCAUCUCUUAAAUUAACGGAGUAGAUACCCGCGGUCAUAAUUAAUUGCUCCAGAACGCGUUCGUUACCCCCCUAAUCGCAACAACACCGCUUCAUCCUCUGUAGAUCGCCUUGAUCCUCGGUGGCUGGUGGCUAGCGGCACAGUGAAUCAUCAACAAUAUUAUGCUUCCGAAGACAACUUGCAUCUCCGGGUAAUAGGGUUAUUUUCUUGGCUCCAUGCUUUCAUCUUGUGUUUUAUAGAUGACUUUGAUCGUCUCGAUGAGGCCUUCUUUUCUUUUAUCAGGGAGCUUUGGUCGGUUAAAUUUUAACUGGAUUGGGUCAACAAGUUGACCCGAAACCUCGUAUCUCGGGACUAAGAACCGAUCAAAGACCGUGUUCUUAACGAUUUUGAUCAGGGUUUACUGAAAGAGAAGUCUGUUUCAAAGACCGUUCUGCAGUAAAAAUCCCUCUUCUUCAUUUGUUGUGUUGUCAGAUCCGAGUGUUGGUACAUUCUGACCACGUGGAAGCAUUGCAGUUAAAGGCCACCGCAUGUCUCGUCCAAAAGAGAUGCAACCUUUUCUUUUGUCGAAGAAAGGGGCGUGAGACUUCAGAUCUCGUGGGAGAUCAACCAGACGUGCUUACGAUGGCCGUGGAUACCCAUCAUGAGAUUUGCUGCCUUUAUGUCGCCAUUUUCGAGACGCCUGUAGUUUACGAGAGUUUAGACCGCAUUUAUACGAACAUCUGCUGGGAGUUACGGUAUCACCUUAUACUUCUCUUGCAUUUUCUCUUUACAUCUUUCUCUCUCUAAACUAAAUUCUGUAUCAAAUUAUAUCCACCGGUAGUCUAGACUUUUCCAUUUGAUACGUACUUGGGGGCUGAGAUAUUACGUAGACUUGGCUAUAACUCAUGCACAAUGCUCUCUUCUAAAUUUUAUUUGAACUACUUAUGAGGUUAAAUCAAGGAAAAGGGAUAAACUUUUUCGAGAGUGGGUUCAGGAAUGCUGUACUUUGUCCGAUUUCUUAUUUUAAUGAUGUUGGACAAAGUGGCGUGUAAUAAUGAAUCAAUUGGUUGGUGAGGUAGAAUUGAUGUAAAUAAAACCCAUGGCAUGGGUGUGGAACAGAGGAAACAUAAUGGUAGGGUGGGUGGGGUUGUGGACAUCAUCAAUGAUGGUAAAUCAUAAGACAAAUAAGGGAGGAAUUCUGCUGCUUGGUGCAGUUCUUCCAACAUCUUCUGCUUCCCUUUUCCCUUGUUCCCAUGGUAAAAGAAAGUGGGGUAUACAUUUUAAUUUUAAUAGCUAGGUAGUUUUAUAUUUAUGUAUCUCGUUUAUAAGCUUCUUGAUGAGAAAAGGUAAAGAAAAUUAGGUUGUGGGAGCUGAAAAUUGAAAGAGGGAGAAAGAAAGAAACCUUCUAGGGCCGUGAACGAUCAUCAUGUAGAGAGAAAAAGUUGCCUUUUUGCCUACCAAGAUAAGCUUUUAAUAUCGAAGCUCAAAAAGAGGGUAAGAGCAUCACAGCGAGUUCUUUAAUUCUGACAAAGAAAUUGACUUCGUCGAAAGAUAGAUCAGAGGAUGGAAUGCGAGUGGCCAUCGCUAAUACUUGUGCUAUGCAUUAAAUAUCAAUUGUCCAUAUACUCAGAAGUCUUUGCUUUUAGUCUUUCUCCAUGGCACAGACUGCACUAGCUCUUCGAGUAGUACUUUUGCUGGUCCUGGGUUUGUGCCUGUUGCACAGACCACAUUUUAUUUGUAGUUACAGCUCUCUGACAAAUUUAAUCUGUCCGCUAAUUAGCAGCUGAGACUGGGCCUAAGAGGCGGAAGCCACACCUGCACCUACAUUGUCAUUCAAGUGGUUGUAACAAGUGUUCUUUAAUCUACUCUAAUUCCUCCAAGUGGUCAUUGAACCUACGUGACACAACAGAAAAUGUUGAAGACCAAGACAUGGCCUUUGUUCCUGUUUAAGCGAGCGAGAGUUGGCGCUACAACCGAGGGAAGAAGACAGAUUUGUAGGUGCGGAAGGCCGGAAAGAUCGCUGAUCUGAUGUUAAUUGAAGGCCGAAUUAUGGAUGGAAAGAAGAUAUUGCUGAAAAAUAUUAUAUGUUAACCUUCUUGAUGACAAAAGUGUUCUUUUUUGUUCAUCAUAUUACUUCCCCCGACGACAGAUCUUGUAGAAGGAUAUCUUGGAUGUGGCUUUCUAGACCCUAUAUGUCUUUUUCUUUCCUAGAAAAUUUUAUUCUUUUUGCUCUCUGUCCACUUUACUCUUUGUUAUUUUCUUUCUUAUUUUUUGUUCUUUUUACUGAAAUAAAAGACACCCUUUGUUCUUUUAUCUUUCUUGAACCAUCAUUUGCCGAGAAUGAAACUAAAACUUAUCUCAGGAGCGAGAGAGGCACUUCUUUUCAUAAAUUUAGGCCCUAUAUGAACAAUAUACAUAAGAUACUUUUUUGGAUCUAUAACAAAAUAUUACUUAAAAAAAUUCAAUUGUAAAAAAUUUUGUGUCUUUAGUUAGUCCGGGUGAUGAAUGCCUUUAAUUUGUGCUCAAAUACAACAAAGAUAAUCCAGUCUCUUUUGUCAUACAUUGUAUGUGUAAGGCUUUGUUUUUGUUCUUAUUUAAUUUUUUUGUUUCAAAAGCAAUUUGCAUUUUAGAUUUGAUAGCAUGUUUAGAUUCCAUGAGGAAGAAGUUAUUUGCCUUUGAAACAGGGAGAAUGGAUUUAAUGAAAGUUGAAGAAUAUGUGUCAGAAAUUUAUCAGAUUAGGAGCAAUUGAGGGUGAAGUAUUCAUCCAUUAAAAUUGUGAAUCUUAGGAAUAAUAAAUGCAAAAUUUCUAAUUGAGAAUUUCAAAGAAUCCGAUUUCAUAUGAUUUGAACAAGCAGAAUCGAAUGCAUGAGAUUAGAACCUGGUUGACUAUGGCUUCAGCCAAAAGUGUUGUGCUAAUGGAGAAAGAUUCGGUAGUCGCAGCUGUAGUGGGUUUUUUCAGCAACUUUAUGAUAUUCUUGAUUUGUAUGGCCAAUCUUAUGACAAUAUAUGCAAAUUGACUUUUUCAACUUUUCAUUGAAAUUACUCAUAGCCACGGUUGAGGUAGAGGGUAAAGAACUCCUUAAGAGGGGUUCUGGGACUCUUACAACAAGGAGAUGCACUACAACCACCAUGACGAUCUCAUCAGUGAUUGACCAUUGUCGUACGUGAUCCACUCCUUGAGGAGGUAUCGUGUACAAGUGUUUGCCAUGCUUGAUUGAGGGGAUCCAUUUGAUUGGGCAAAGGAGAUCUGAAAGAGGGGCUUGAUUUGAUCUCAAUUGGUGAUGCGUAGAGAAGGUGGAAGCAUACUUGAGAGAGAGAAUAAUCUAUCAUCCUUCUUGCAGUGUUGCAAGCUGAGUCAACAUGGUGGAUGAUGUGGCUACGAUGAAAUCAAUGAAGUAGGGAGCUUGCUUAUUGUUGGUAGUGGUGAACAAAGUGGUGACCACGAUGAUUCAAUGAAGCGGGGAAGGAAGCAACAACUUGCUUGUUGUCGACAACGAUGAACAAAGAGGAGAGUCGUUGUUGGAGGGGAGUCACCGUCAAUCGUUGGUGAGUCACCAAGGAUAGGGAAGCAAGGAGUCACCGAUCAUUGGUGAGUCACGUCGAGGCAGGGAAGAAGGGAUGCAGAUGGUUGAUGAUGAGAUUUUCGAGAUGAAUCAAGUACUGUCGGAGGUAUGUCAGUGAACAAGGAAAGGUUGGAGUGAGGAAAUCAUCGUCAUUGUUGUUCAAGAUGAAAGGAUACUAUAUUAGAAUGAAAAAGAAGAAAUUUUAUU